GCCAGUGUAGUAUAGUGGUUUAAACAUUGGACUAGAACUUUAGAGACCAGGGUUUGAAUCCCUGCUCAACCA